ACUGUAGCAGACAGUGUCUCCAGGCAGGGUACUGAGCAAAGAGGAUAGUGAAAAGGGCAGUGAAACAUCGGCCUUUUUCACUGGCAACUUCAAGACUCACUGCCUACAAUACCACUUGGGGAUUGAAUUCAUGGUUUGAUCCAUUUCCAUCCAUCUGCUCAUGAGAGAAGAAAUUCGGUUUGGUGAAGGAUGUCUGGAAAAUGCGAAGACCACCAACUUGGGAAACUUUUAUCA
rnacentral:lncRNA from 1 species